UGUUAGAGCUGUCACCAAGCUUUUGUAAGAGUAUGGAAGAGAGGUUAAAAGCAAGAGAAAUUUAUUUUCAUCAUCUACCUUCACAUCAACAUUAGCCAAUUGGGUAGUUAAUUUAUUAAAAAUAAUAAGGUGAUUACUCACAUCAAUAUCUUCAUCCAUUCUGAAUUGGUACAACUCUUUUUUCUAGUACAAGCGAUUUGUGAGUGACUUUAAUAUAUACAAACUCUCUCAUUUCUUCCAUAAAACAACUAGUGAAAUCUCCUUCAAGACAUUUUACUUCACAGCAGAGAUUAAUGUCAAUGAAAUUGUACUUUCAAUCAUCAUCAUCAUUAGUCACCUGA
rnacentral:misc_RNA from 1 species